GUGGGGAAUAUUGGGCAAUGGGGGAAACCCUGACCCAGCAACGCCGCGUGAAGGAAGACGGUUUUCGGAUUGUAAACUUCUUUUAUCGGGGACGAAAAAAAUGACGGUACCCGAAGAAAAAGCCACGGCUAACUACGUGCCAGCAGCCGCGGUAAUACGUAGGUGGCAAGCGUUGUCCGGAUUUACUGGGUGUAAAGGGCGUGUAGGCGGGACUGCAAGUCAGAUGUGAAAUACCAAGGCUUAACCUUGGGGCUGCAUUUGAAACUGUAGUUCUUGAGUGAUGGAGAGGCAGGCGGAAUUCCUAGUGUAGCGGUGAAAUGCGUAGAUAUAUGGAGGAACACCAGUGGCGAAAGCGGCUCUCUGGUCUGUAACUGACGCUGAGGUUCGAAAGCGUGGGUAGCAAACAGGAUUAGAUACCCUGGUAGUCC
rnacentral:rRNA from 1 species